ACGAAGACUGCGCGGCGGAACUCUCCGGAGGGAAGAUGCGCAGGACUGAGUGGCGGACGGGUGAGUAACGCGUGGGUAACCUGCCCUGUACAGGGGGACAACAGCUGGAAACGGCUGCUAAUACCGCAUAAGCCUACAGUGCCGCAUGGUACAGCAGGAAAAACUCCGGUGGUACAGGAUGGGCCCGCGUCUGAUUAGUUAGUUGGCAGGGUAACGGCCUACCAAGACAACGAUCAGUAGCCGGCUUGAGAGAGUGGACGGCCACAUUGGGACUGAGACACGGCCCAAACUCCUACGGGAGGCAGCAGUGGGGAAUAUUGCACAAUGGGGGGAACCCUGAUGCAGCAACGCCGCGUGAGUGAAGAAGUAUUUCGGUAUGUAAAGCUCUAUCAGCAGGGAAGAAAAUGACGGUACCUGACUAAGAAGCUCCGGCUAAAUACGUGCCAGCAGCCGCGGUAAUACGUAUGGAGCAAGCGUUAUCCGGAUUUACUGGGUGUAAAGGGAGCGCAGGCGGUACGGCAAGUCCGAUGUGAAAGCCCGGGGCUCAACCCCGGGACUGCAUUGGAAACUGCCGCACUAGAGUGCCGGAGAGGUAAGUGGAAUUCCUAGUGUAGCGGUGAAAUGCGUAGAUAUUAGGAAGAACACCAGUGGCGAAGGCGGCUUACUGGACGGUAACUGACGCUGAGGCUCGAAAGCGUGGGGAGCACACAAAGUUAGAUACCCUGGUAGUCCACGCCGUAA
rnacentral:rRNA from 1 species